CACUCGAUUUUUAGGGAGUCAAGCCAGAAGUCAAACGCUGCACAACUUGCUGCACACUUUUCCACUGCCCCCAAUCCCAACUUUUAAACCAACCGUAAACACGAAGCUUCAGUGCCACCUGGAAUCCCACAUAAAACAUUCCAUUACAUUUAAAGGGGCCACUUGACAACAUUGUGGCUGGAGUUUCCUGGCUGCGUCAGAAUGCAGGUUUGCUCAGGGGGAAGGUGGUCGAGCCCGCAUUUCCGAAUAUGGACGCAAAAGAACAGCAGGAGCUCCUGGAAAGGAUACGUUCUUCAACUGAUGAAGAAGAAAAGUAUCCCCUGCUCUUCACAUUUGAUUUUCAGGAAGACAUGGAGGUCUUCCUUAACAUGGCAGCUGAGGAGGAUCUUCGGGUCAACGCCAUGUUUCUGGGUCGCUGGGUGGACAGCCAGUGACAUUGCUGUGUGUGUGUGUGUGUGUGUGUGUGUGUGUGUGUGUGUGUGUGUGUGUGUGUGUGUGUGUGUGUGUGUGUGUGUGUGUGUGUGUGUGUGUGUGUGUGUGUGUGUGUUGAGGUUCUGAGUUCAGUUAUCUGUUGAGUGUUCUUAAUAAAGUGUUAUAACGUUUACAAUGUAUCGAUUUUUUGUAUGACUUUACUUAUUCACUUUGGUAACACACAGAGCUAAGUUAAAACACAGACUUGAGUUUGUCGUAUUUAAAUAUGGGCAAAUAAGGUGGUCCAGCAGCACAAGGUAAGACAAUAUUAUAGACAAUUAGAGCCAGAUAUUAAAUGAAUGAUGGUUCAGAGUAAGAAUUUAGGAAUGCAAAAGUGCUAAUAACAUAUGAUAAAUUAUAUUGGAAUGCAGUCGAACCUUAUGAUAUUAAGACAACAGAAUGUAACAUAGCUAGACCUAAUAUAAAUAUGUCAGAAAAGGUGAAGCUAAAGGGGAAUUGUUCUAACUAUUCCUGUCCACUCAUACA